UACAGAGGUCUCAAGCGUUGUUCGGAAUCACUGGGCGUAAAGGGUGCGUAGGUGGCGUGGUAAGUCAGAUGUGAAAGCCCGGGGCUCAACCCCGGAACUGCAUUCGAUACUGCCUUGCUCGAGUACUGGAGAGGAGACUGGAAUUUACGGUGUAGCAGUGAAAUGCGUAGAUAUCGUAAGGAAGACCAGUGGCGAAGGCGAGUCUCUGGACAGUUACUGACGCUGAGGCGCGAAAGCGUGGGUAGCAAACAGG
rnacentral:rRNA from 1 species